GACGUAGGUUGCGAGCGUUAUUCGGAUUCACUAGGCGUAAAGCGUGUGUAGGCGGAUGCCUAAGUCUGACGUGAAAUCUCCCGGCUUAACUGGGAGGGGUCGUUAGAUACUGGGCGUCUUGAGUUGGGUAGGGGGAACCGGAAUUCCAGGUGCAGCGGUGAAAUGCGCGGAUAUCUGGAGGAACACCGGCGGCGAAGGCGGGUUCCUGGGCCUUAACUGACGCUGAGACACGAAAGCUAGGGGAGCAAACAGG
rnacentral:rRNA from 1 species